rnacentral:rRNA from 1 species
UACGUAGGGGGCAAGCGUUGUCCGGAAUUAUUGGGCGUAAAGAGCGUGUAGGCGGUCCGGUAAGUCGGCUGUGAAAGUCCAGGGCUCAACCCCGGGCCUGCAUUCGAUACGGGCAGACUAGAGUUCGGUAGGGGAGUCUGGAAUUCCUGGUGUAGCGGUGAAAUGCGCAGAUAUCAGGAGGAACACCGGUGGCGAAGGCGGGACUCUGGGCCGAUACUGACGCUGAGGAGCGAAAGCGUGGGGAGCAAACAGG